rnacentral:rRNA from 1 species
UACGGGGGGGGCGAGCGUUGUUCGGAAUUAUUGGGCGUAAAGGGCGCGUAGGCGGUGUGGCAAGUCAGGUGUGAAACCUCCAGGCUCAACUUGGAGCUUGCAUCUGAAACUGCCGUGCUAGAGUGUGGGAGAGGAGAGUGGAAUUCCUGGUGUAGCGGUGAAAUGCGUAGAUAUCAGGAGGAACACCAGUGGCGAAGGCGGCCUGCUGGGCUGUUGCUGACGCUGAGGCGCGACAGCGUGGGGAGCAAACAGG